CACGCAACCUACACACAAUUCAGUUAUCUGCUAGCAGAUAACUGAAUUUUGUGUAGGUUGCGUG
rnacentral:miRNA from 1 species